rnacentral:rRNA from 1 species
AUUGAACGCUGGAGGCAGGCCUAACACAUGCAAGUCGAGCGAGCGGCGGACGGGUGAGUAAUGUCUGGGAAACUGCCUGAUGGAGGGGGAUAACUACUGGAAACGGUAGCUAAUACCGCAUACCAUCAGAUGUGCCCAGAUGGGAUUAGCUAGUAGGUGGGGUAAUUGCUCACCUAGGCGACGAUCCCUAGCUGGUCUGAGAGGAUGACCAGCCAAACUGGAACGUAGACACGGUCCAGAUCCCUACGGGAGGCAGCAGUGGGGAAUAUUUCACAAUGGGCGCAAGCCUGAUGCAGCCAUGCCGCGUGUAUGAAGAAGGCCUUCGGGUUUUAAAGUACUUUCAGCGGGGAGGCGUUACCCGCAGAAGAAGCACCGGCUAACUCCGUGCCAGCCGCCGCGGUAAUAC